GCCAUCACUGAUAAAAAGGUUUUGGGAUUAUGCCUUUGACUUGGUGUUGUGGUGAAAGGAAAGACAAUGCAGAGGUUGUUCUGAUAGUGAGAUUCUCUGCUACCCAGCAAACUCACUAAGAGCUGCAAUCACUAAAGACCAGGGUGAAGGGGUAGAAACUUAGAACCCGGCAUUGCAGAAGUGGCAGUGAGCAUUCAGUGGUGGCAGCAUGCAGCAGGCAGUGGCACAGCAAAGUGGUAGCAGCAAACAUCCAGUUGCAGAGGUGCACAGUGAGCACAGAGACAUUGCUUGAUGCCCCCUCCCCCUUUUCUGGGGUGGGUGGUGAACCCCUGCAAACACAUCUCUGAACUUCACUACCCAAGGACCGCCAACUGUGAGUGGGGUGCAGCAGAGGGAGCGAUGUGCUAGAGGGACAUUCAUUUGUUGGACUUUCCCACUCCAAGAGGGAGAAAAACAACGUGUCUGGAAAAAUGCACUUCCCAAUGCCAAGCAACAUAGCAGCUGCAGCAGGUGUCUUGUUAUCUAGUCUAUUCCCAUGAGGAAGCAAGUGAGAGUCAUUGUUCUGAGAGCUCAUCCUGUUCAAACUUGUCCAACAAGGAUCUGGGCUUUUGACCUGGUCUACACCAGAAGAGAAGGUGUAGAUGAGAGAAGAUGUGAUAGAGCGAUACAAAAUAAUAAAUUGCACAGAGAUGGUCAAUAGGCCUCUCCUGUUUUACCUUUUGAAUUAUAUCUGAACAAGAGGACAUUCAAUGGGAAGGUAAGAUAUAUAGCAUUUAUAAAAGGAAAUACUUUACACAGAGCAUAACUAAUUGGUAGAACUCACUGCCACAAGAUAUAUUUGAGGCAUUCAAUUUAGGAGGAUUCAAGAAAUAUAUUUAUAUAGAAAAUGUGAACAUCCAUUAUAUUAGGUGGGCUACAUUUUUACAGAAGACCAUUAUGUUUCAGGAUGUAAAACAUCACUAACUCAGGGGGAGUAAAAGAAGAGCGAGUAAAAUGCCCUGCUCGGGCAUUUGAGCCAAUGGGAGUAUAGCAGAAAGGUUUAAUCUUCACUGGUUCCUAAACAGCUGACACUUGGGAUUUUGGGACCCUCCACCAAGGGAGUAGAAUUGCUUCUUCCGUGGUUCUUGGGCUCUUCUACUGCCUGGUGGUGGUAGAGGGGCAGUCUGUGACAAGGCCCUGAUUUUCAACUUGUGGGUCACGGACCCCUGGGUGUCCCCUGACUAUGCCUAAGAUUUCUAAAGGGGGCUAUACCGCUACUCAAUUUUUUUAGGGGUCUGCAAAUGAAAAAAAGGUUAAAAACCACUGCUCUAUGGGGAUCAGCAGCUCUGGGGAGACAGCACUCCAAGGCAGCCCCUCUGCCCCUCCUUAUCCAUUUGUCCGGAGUCUGCAAACACCCCAUGCGGUCACCCGCCCGCGCUUUAAAUGAGGGUGGGGUCAGGAAAGACGGUCCUGUUCCCGGUGGGCGCGGGGCAACGCAACAAAGGGCGCGAGGGGGAGGGGGCCCAAGCGCAGGGGAUGGAAUCUCGGGGGAACAAUCCAGGGGC